ensembl:lncRNA
CUGCGGUAAGAUGCGGCGGCGCACGAUGCCGAGCCGCGGCGGAUGAGAUGAUGCGCAAUGGCUGAACGAGUCGGGAGGAGAGAGAGAAAAAAAAGAGGCUGUGGUCUGAUUUAAACGAUGGGACAGGACUGAAUGGAUGUUCGAGCGAUUUGUAACGUUUGUGGUGCAGGCCGAGUAGAAAGAUGAGGCGGCGCUGAUUCCACUUUAGGAUGCUCCAGAGCCCGAGAGGAGGGAGAAUAGGCUUCGUCUGUAAACAAUAAGGAAGCAGAGGGGCAUUAAGUAAAGGACACUUAAUCCAGAGCCUGGACCUGAGACCCCGGGGCUUCGAAAAAGGUUGCUCUGUGACAGCUGAGUCAGUCCUCUGUGAGGAGAGGCCAGUGAACGGGGAGGGCGGCGAAGCUCUGGAGACAGCGUCACUGAGCGUCAGCCUGGAAGAAAACAAACUUCUCAUUUCCCUUGCUCUCAUCAGCACUGACAGCUGGACAUCACACCUGCAUGUUUCUCUUCUUCGUCAGGAGACUGUCUAAGUUGAGGAGUGAUAGGUGCAAACAAUCGCAGGUCGCCCGUCAGAAAAACAGCUGAUUCUGUCUUCAGAUGCAGUCAGAAUGAUUUGCUAAGAUAUGAGAUUACAAGGAGAUUCAUCUCCCUCCGGCCAUGUUAGGAAAACAUCGUCUUCGGUACCACUGUCAGAAUUAAUCAGUAAGAAAUUUGUUUCAGCUGUUUCAUAGUGCCCAGUGAUUUUUUUUUAGUUUUUUUUUCUAAAUGAUGAUCUUUUUACCUUUGAGCUGUCAGGCUGUGAAUCAAGAAUAGAUUCUUGAUUGUGGCAGUGCUCCCUCUCACAAAUGAGAAUUCAACUUGAGCUGACAGGCUGCAUUUUAAUAAAGGAUAAGUAAAAACCAACCAAUAAAACAUAGAUGAGGCCCACAACAAGCACUAUGCUCCAGCAGAAUAACAACAACAACUACCCGUGCCUGAGCAUGUCAGGCUCUAGCCGGGAGAUGCUCCAGAAAUGCUCCAGAGCCUCUCUGCCCUUCCCCAGCCGACUGGAGCUGGGACUGGCAGAUCUGCCGCUCAUUCGGGGUCUCCGAGCCUGGGCCCUGUGUUCCAGGAAUCGCCACAAGACUGCUAAUCUGCUGGGAGGAGGACAAGCACCCACAGCUCCUCCUGCAGGUCGAGGAGGUUCAGCAUCAUGCCCCAGGCCUGCAGAUGUUUGCCUGAGUGGCGAGUGGGGUCGCAUGGGAUAUGGGCUUCCGCUGGGGGUGGACAGUAGGCAGGCUGGAAUCGGAGCUUUGGUAACAGUUGCCACUCUGAAGACCUCAGAGGGCAGCGGGAAGACUCAGACUCAGUGUCUGUUCCUCCGGACUGAGAAAGGAAGCUGUUUGUAUUCAGCAGCUAAGCCCAACUCUGGAGUGACAACCAGUGCAGCCUCCAGUGUGGUUGGAGGAUGGCUGCGAGGAAAGACUGGAGUAGGAGGAGGACGCAGAGACACUCCAGCUGGGCCAACUCCACCGGCACAGACUGGAGCAAACCGGGUUAGGGUGCGAUCAGGGAGGAGAUGGAGGAAGUCUGGCAAUGCAGCGGGCCGGGAGAAAACAGGCGUGAGCAGAGAGAGGCAGCAGAGGAGCAGGGAAGUUCCUGCUGGUGAAAUCGCUGUGGAAGAAAGGCAGGAAGAGCAAGACAAAGGAGGCCUGGACUGUAAACAGUUUCCCACCCCACAGCAGGACAGCCGGCGAGCCAGAUGCAGCCACAGCGUUUCUCCUAAAUCCUGCGUCCAAUGUGGAAGGAGAGCACAGAGGAGGAAAAGCCAGGAUGGACACGAGGGAGGCAUCCCGAACAGGCUGAACAGUGAGGUGACGGGAAUGAGGAAGGAAAGGCAAAAGAAUGAAGAGGAGGAUAAGGGAGGCCUCGGCAAGUUAGAGUCUUCCAGCUCUGUUUUGACUGAACUAAACCCUGACCUAGAAUCUACCCGUUCUUACAGCGACUCCCACGACAGCUGCGAUGUGGGAGAAACAAGAGAAACUGAGAGCAGCGAGGGGCAGAAGACACAAGCUUCUCAGAGCAAGGACGGCUAUUCAGAGGAACAAGAAGACAGAUACACUGAAGGAAACAACGUCACCCAUGGACAUUCUGGGUUGAUUGAUAAUUCAAGACAUAAGAACAGCAUUACUGAGAGAAAACCAAGUAAAUGCCCCUGUGAAGAAGAAGGGGCUAAUGUAAACGGAUUUUCUGAUCUCGAUGAAGCAGGUGAAGAAUCAGAGAAAAGGGCUGAGUGUGCAGAUGUUAAAGAUGAAAAGGAGAACAUCAGCGAGGCUCUUGAUGAAUUUUCCAGCUGGUGUGCAGUCUUUACGCCUGCCUCCAGCAGCACUGGAGUCUCCCUCAGUUUUAACAAGUCAGCCGCACCCAUAGAGGGCAGCGUCUGCAGUGCUGACCAUGAAACUUGUUGGGUUCAGGCUGAGCAGGAGCAGGAGAAUCACGUUGAGGGGUAUCAGCAAGAGGAAAAAGACUCUGGGGUCACGGGUGAAGAAGAACAGGCCAAUGAAAAAACCACUGUGAAUGAGAUAUUAAAUAAUAAACCUCAAUCUGUGUUUAAAAAUGAGGAGGAAGUGUUACCUUCAUCCCUCACAGAUGGAGAUCAUUCCAUCUCUGAGUCAGGCGAGAGGAUUGUGGCAGACAGCAGCAGCAAAUGUGGGACGAAAGAUGAGCUGGAGUCGGAAGAAGGAAAUUUAGAAGAGAGCCUCAAUCCUGAACAUGGAGACGAAGCUGGGGAUAUUUGGAAGUCGGAUGAAUGUAAAGAACUCACACUCAAAGAUAAUUAUGAAGGGACAGCGAUAAACUGUGCUUCAGAGGAAGACUGGCGGUUACAGGAGGUCGAAGAUGAACGCAGGAAGUGGGAGAAAGAGGAUGGAUACACCUGUGCACAAACAAGCAUCGCCCCUGUUGAACCAAGUGGAGAGUGGCUCCACCGUGGCCACUGACGAAGGGAGGAAGGAGGAGGAGGAAGAUGAGUUUGGAGUGUUCAUGCAGGCGGAGGGAGAGCCAGCCUGGAGCGAGGAGUUCACCAUGUCUGCCUCAGUGCCUUGUGGGAGCAGAGAGAGUGUUGCACUUGGAAAGCAUGCUAUCACCAGUGAGUCGACCCUCUGGACGCCAGGCAAGACGGACAGCUCGUUCCACCAGUCAGACGACACCUGGACAGCCUUCCCUCAGGAUUCAUCAGAUGAAGGUGGAGACGUUGUGGAGCAGUGGUGGCCAGCCAGUGCUGUGGAGGAGAGGAGAGACAGACUCUCAGCCAAUCAGAACCUGGCGGCUGUCUUUGCUGAAGUCUUCCCCUCAUUUACUGGUUCAUCCUCAAGUGACUCCUGUGACCUCAGUACUGUUCCCACACUGAGCCAGCUCCUCAGAGGCGGAGCAAGCCAAGACCAGGGGCUGUUGGACAGUUUCCACGACUUAAACAAAAUGAUCGGCCAGAGAUACAAGAGAGCCAACGGCGUGUCUCGUAACCUGCUGCUGAAGACUUUACACCUGGAGCAGCCGCACACUGAAAGCAGACCUGCUUCCUGGACAGCAAACUGCCGCCUCUCCCCUGGCCUCCCCUCAGCCAAUCAGCAUGCUCAAAAUGCCGCUGCCAAGCGACGGCUGUCCUAUGACUACAACAGGAACAUCAUGGAGUAACUCUGUGGACCUCAGCUCUGGUUUGGCUGUCAGCAUUCACAAUGAAGGACUGCAGGUUUUAACAGGUUUCUCGAGGAUCCGGAUUCACAGCAUAUUAAACUAAGCACUCAUCGACCUGCUGACUCUUUGCACACUUCCUGGUUAUUUAAGCCUGAGACAGUGAGGAGAGCCGGUGUCUCCUCCAGCACCUGCUGAUGUAUACUGGGGGAGUGGUUUUUUUUAUAUCACGUGUUCAUCACCUUGUUCACUAUCACCACUACCACCCAUUAAGUAUCAACCUUACCUACUGAGAUUCUUUGGAGCAUUGUGACCUGUUACAAGGUACACGCCACCACCUUAAAGGCACUCUAAUUUUUUCCUCCUCUAACAGAAAUAGAUCUGAAGCACCACUGCUUUUUGUCUCAAGGGUAGAAUAAAUAUAAAGCAUAUAAUACUCACAUGGGGUGAACUUAAAUAAUAAAAAUAAACGUUUCUCCCACUGAAAUCACUACGUCCAGAUGAACAGAAUCAACCUUUUGUGGUAUAUAAGACAUCAUUUUACAUACAUUGGCGGCCCUGUCAGUCAUGAUUUUUGACAUGCCGGUUGUUUAGCGUACGUCUGCUGUCUCUUUAAAAGUUUGUGGUUUGUUUUUGUCGUGCAGAAAUGGAAGAGUGUAACUGGGGCAAAAAGUUUCUACCUCCAGUGUUGCUGAUCUAACAGACAAAUAAAAUUAUGUUGCACUACACUACAGUUUAAAUUUGAAAUAGAUUUUUUUAUUAAGUAGGAAAAUCCUAGUUCUGAAAAACUGGUAUUCUUCAUAUACUAUAUGCUGUGUACUGUAAGCAUAUUCAUACAAUAUGUCAGUUAGGCUGAAAGGGGAAGAACAUCUGGGGUUAUUGGUUAAGUUUCUAACCAUGAAGACACAGCUUUACUUCACACAGGGGGCCUUUAAGGCUUCUCCUUAUUUCCUGCCAUGUAUAUACUCUCACAGUGAUGGAUGCUCAUGUUGAACAUGGCCAAAGGUUCAAAUAUUGAGCCAUGUAUAUAUAAAAGUAAUUCCUGUGAGCUUAAUAUCCUGCAUAUCAUUUCAGUCACACAGGUGUGGCUGUGAGCACUAAAGCCCCACCUGCCUGUGUUCAAACCAAUCAGGUGAGGCUCUAAUACAGCUUCUUUCAGACGGAGUAUGAGCUGGGGGGCUGCAUCAAUGACCAGUGUGAAUUUUGAAUGAGCAGAACAGGUACAAGACAAACUGUGUCAACGUAGCAUUUUAAAUUACCCAAGCAUCUUUUUCCAAUCUGUGCUUUUCAGUUAUUUCAAAUUGGACUAACAAGCCAUUGUGAUGGAGGCAUACAUGUCUGUAUUAUUGAGUGCCAAGUCAGGUAAAUGGGAACUAUCAGAAAACUAGAUUUGUAGUUAUAUUUCCAGCCACGUUUUAUGAAAGUAGCAUAAAGUUCCAGUCUUCCUCCCGGAAAAGAUCUCUGGGUUUAAUUACAGAAGAAGACUCGAUGACAUGAUGCUUGUUUUUGUUCUGUAGCUCCAUUAAUGUGGUGGCUUGACCCUUUGUAACAGCUUCACUCCUCUUCAGUUUUCCUGUCUGUAGCAGAAACCUCUACAGAUGUCACCAUCGCCUGGAUUCAUGCACAUGUUCAGUAGAAGUAACAGAAAAACCUUUUGUCUAGUCGUGUCAUCACACAGAAGAUCAGAGUCAAGCGUUAUUUUUUUUCCAAAACGUAGAGCAGAUAUAAUAAUGAGUACUAAAGAAAGAUCAAGAUUGUUUUUGUUUUAAUUUUGUUUACAUUUGACAUUUUGAUGCAUGUGCUUUCAUUGUGUAUUUGCUACUGAAAAGCCAGUGACAGGAACAGGUCUCAACUUUGUUCUGGUUCCUCAGAGAAACAAGUUUGUCUUCCAGUUAGUGCCAACAGGAACACCAGAGAAAGUGCCAAUGUUUACGAGGUUACGGAAGUGAUUUCAGGAGGAAAUGUUUGUCUUGUUUCUCAAACACACUGAAGUGGACUCAAACAAAAGCAUGUGAUGUUCCACCUUUUUCUUUCUUUCUUUGUCUUUCUGUCUCGCUUCUUGUCUGCCGAAUGUCUCAGUACAUUCGUUUUAGUUCAGCGCUGUUCUGUAGUCGAGUCCACUUCAUGGGCAAAACUUGAAUUUAGCUGCCGGUCAAAAUGAUAUUUUAUGAGAAUAUUGUUCACAUUAUGUCGAUCAUGCACCGCGUUUCUAAUUUGUGGCACCUCAGAAAACUUUAAGUCGCUCUGUUGUGUAUUUCAAUUGUUAACUCUGUUAAUCUGUGAUGAAAUUCAGAAUCAGUCGUGUGUGUGUGUGUGUGUGUGUGUGUGUGUGUGUGUGUGUGUGUGUGUGCCAUUUAUACAACAUUCAAAUUCUUGAAAAAAUGGAUAUUUUCUGUUACAAUGAGGAGGAUCCAGCUGUCGCCUUGUUGACUGAUGUAAUAAAAUGAUACUGCGUGUUGGCUAAUGCUUCCUCCUGACAUGCAGAAUUAUGUGACCUGUUGAUUUCAUGAAGAGGGAACCACUGGCUGACUAGUAACUCAGAUAAAAUCAUCACAUGGUCUGCUCUUCUGGGCCAUGUUUGAACAUUUUGAAAUCCACUCACUCGUCCUUUGUAAAUAUUACGAAACGAACAAAUAUUUCCCAGACAGACCGAGAAGAAGUCAGACCUGACAUAAUUCAGCUGACGUUUCAUGGAGUCAAUGAGGGUUUUUCAUGAGCUUGUCAUGAAAAACAUUCAAACCCAUCCAUCUUUUUUCCUAACCGCUUAUCAGAUUGAAGGUUACCAGCUGUCAGUGGGUGAUGACCGAUCCUCAGUUUUCUGGAAUCAGACCAAACAAUUAAUGAACAUAAAUAUGUUUUAGGUUUACUCUUUGCCAAAAUUGCUGCACAUUAUUCUAAUUAAUAUAUUAACAUAUAUCUACUUUAUUGCUCUAUGGAUUAGCGUGGGGCUUUGUUCAUAAGUCCAUAACUUUGGUCCAUGUUUACUAUGCUUAUACAGGAAAUGUAUAGAUCCAGAAAAUGUGUCUCGUCUUUGUGAAAGCCAUUGAUAUAAUUUAUCAACACAACGAAACCUGAAGAUGAUUUGAUCCGAAUGUUUCUCGAGAAUAGAAACUGUUGUGCCCCUGACAAAUAGAAGCUGUAAACUAAACUGAAACAAGAAAGUUCACUCCCAAAAUAAUUUUUUUAACUGUGAAACCAAAAUAGAAACAAAUUUUUCUGCUUUGG